CGACGACUGAAAACUUUUCGAAAUAAUUAAUUAUAUUAAAUAACACACCCAUCUACUUGUUGAAGAAAUGAUUUUGUUUCGUAAUCGUUAAUUUCGAUACACUUUAGAUUACGACCGGUUAAACGGAUUUCCGCGGGAAGAAUAUUUUUCGUUUUACGAUCGUGUUUUUAAUAGUUUUAUUAUUCGGAAAACAAAUGUUUAGGGCUGUUGUGUUCAAUUAGGGGAGAGUUUGGUAGAAAUACGGAAAACCUAAGGGAAACUUGUUUAUAUCUUUUAAAAUAUUGAACUAAAACACACGUUUCCCCGUUCUUAAUUCCCACCAAUCGAUAACCGUUUUUUGUUUUUUUUUUUUUUCUAUUCUUUUCUAUACGAAUUUUUUUUUUCCCCGAAUUUUUCCUGUGAUUAUUUUCUGACCUUAAAAAUCAUAAUAUUAAGCUUUUUCGAGAGAGCUUAUCAAGGGUGUUUUUAUUUUUUUAUUUUUUUUUUUUUGUUAAUUUUAAGCCCUAUCAGUCGCAAACCCGAUUAUAAGAAAUGCCAGUUUGUUUUCGCAAAAGUUAACUGAUAAACCGUUUUUGGGCGCGGGUAUUAAUUAACGGUAUAAACCGUAAAGCUUAUGACGAUAAUAACUAUUAAAAGAUAAUCAUUUCUGUACGAUCCGUAUAAGUGUGUAUAGUGUGUAUUUAUAGAGUAUUAUAAUUCUAACGAACAGAUAGGGUAACGAAGAGGCGGUAUUAAAAG